UUCCUAAGGCCACAGGGUGAAAGAGCAGAAUUUAACUGAAUUAUCCAGAACCUACUCUGUGUAGAAUGUGAGGAAUUGCAAGAACCUUUUAUGCAAUGCUGCUUUCACAGAAGCAAAACUUACUGUCACACCGGAGGCAACCCAAAUACCCCUCAGGAAGAUCCUUAAUCAUUGAUCCAAUUAGUUCCAACAUUCUGAGAAUGAAACUAAGGGAAUAAACAUGACACACAGGAAAAGAGUACUUUCAAAAUGAGUGCAAAGCGGCAACAUUUGCCAUCACUGGAACCAGACAGAAAUUGGAGGAUUGUGUUUUAAGAAGAAUGUUAAAGCCAGC